rnacentral:sRNA from 1 species
CGCGCCGUCCGCACCCACCUGACGGCUGCUCGCUACGUUUUGUUAGCC